UUGGCUAAGAUCAAGUGUAGUAUCUGUUCU
rnacentral:piRNA from 5 species